rnacentral:tRNA from 1 species
CAGGACGUAGCUACAAUACAAAGCAUUCAGCUUACACCUGAAAGAUACCUGCUACUUACUAGGUCGUCCUGA